rnacentral:rRNA from 1 species
NUAAUAAGUUAGCCGCCCCACCUNUAAACCACCCCNUUUUCCCCCCCCCAACUAAACCAUUCGCCAAAUGCAGUAUUGGAGAAAGAACCAUUCCCCCGCGCAAUAGCCAAUAGUACUAUAUAGGAACACUGAAAGACCAGUAAAUAAUGAAGCACAAAACAGCAGGGCCCAUCACCCGUACCUCUUGCAUCAUGGUUUAACCAGCCCCACCCAGAUAAAGUGCACUAAAACCUGCUCACCCGAACCCAGACGAUCUACCUUAAAGCAAUCACUAUGGAUGCACCCCCCCCUGUGGCAAAAGGGCGGGAAGACUUCAAGGUAGCGGUGAAACGCCAAUCGCGCCUGGCGAUAGCUGGUUGCUCAUUAAAUGAAUCUAAGUUCAACUCUAAGCACCCCCCCCACGAACCCUUAACCACAGAUGUCUUGCCUAGAAGUUAUACAAGUAGGGACCAGCCUGCAUGUAAUCGGAAACAGCCCCCUUGGAGGGACAGAAACCCCAUCUCUUACCUGUGGGCCCUAAAGCAGCCACCCAAAAAAACCGCGUCAAAGCACCCAAUGCAAAAAUAAGCCACACCUCUACGAACCCCCAACCCACAACCCGAGCCACCCUGGACUUAAUCCAGAGGAGACCCUGUUAAAACUAGUAAUUCGAAUCCCUUCUCUUUCGCACGUCUUUACACCGGCACGGAUUGUCCCACCGGUAAUUAACAAACCCACACCACCCUCAACCCUGUCACCCCGACACAGGUGUGCGCCAGAGCUCGGCAAAAAGUCGCAAAAGGAACUCGGCUAACCCUGCCCCACCUGUUUACCAAAAACAUGGCCUUUAGCUUUACAAGUAUUAAAGGUCCCGCCUGCCCAGUGAUCCUAUUCAACGGCCGCGGUACUCUAACCGUGCAAAGGUAGCGUAAUCACUUGCCCCUUAAAUAGGGGCUCGUAUGAAUGGCUAAAUGAGGGCCAAACUGUCUCCUACGACCAGCCAAUGAAACUGUUCUUCCAGUACAAAAACUGGAAUACCCACACAAGACGAGAAGACCCUGUGGAGCUUUUAACUACCCCACCAAGCCUACGCUCAUGGUGCUAACUUUAAGUUGGGGCAACUACGGAGAGCCACCCAACCUCCACGAAACAGAGCCCAAGCCCGUCCUAGGCCUACAAGCCAAAAACAAACACCAAAGACCCAGCACAGCUGAACAUCGAACCAAGUUACCCCAGGGAUAACAGCGCCAUCCCCCUUAAGAGUCCCUAUCGCCAGGGGGGUUUACGACCUCGAUGUUGGAUCAGGACACCCUGGCGGUGUAGCCGCU